rnacentral:rRNA from 1 species
AUACGGAGGAUCCGAGCGUUAUCCGGAUUUAUUGGGUUUAAAGGGAGCGUAGGCGGAUUAUUAAGUCAGUUGUGAAAGUUUGCGGCUCAACCGUAAAAUUGCAGUUGAUACUGUAGUCUUGAGUGCAGCAGAGGUAGGCGGAAUUCGUGGUGUAGCGGUGAAAUGCUUAGAUAUCACGAAGAACUCCGAUUGCGAAGGCAGCUUACUGGACUGUAACUGACGCUGAUGCUCGAAAGUGUGGGUAUCAAACAGGAUUAGAUACCCUGGUAGUCCACACAGUAAACGAUGAAUACUCGCUGUUUGCGAUAUACAGCAAGCGGCCAAGCGAAAGCAUUAAGUAUUCCACCUGGGGAGUACGCCGGCAACGGUGAAACUCAAAUGAAUUGACGGGG